CGGUGCUAUACAUGCAGUCGAACGCACUCUCGUUUAGAUUGAAGGAGCUUGCUCCUGAUUGAUAAACAUUUGAGUGAGUGGCGGACGGGUGAGUAACACGUGGGUAACCUGCCCUAAAGUGGGGGAUAACAUUUGGAAACAGAUGCUAAUACCGCAUAAAACCUAACACCGCAUGGUGUAGGGUUGAAAGAUGGUUUCGGCUAUCACUUUAGGAUGGACCCGCGGUGCAUUAGUUAGUUGGUGAGGUAAAGGCUCACCAAGACCGUGAUGCAUAGCCGACCUGAGAGGGUAAUCGGCCACACUGGGACUGAGACACGGCCCAGACUCCUACGGGAGGCAGCAGUAGGGAAUCUUCCACAAUGGACGAAAGUCUGAUGGAGCAACGCCGCGUGAGUGAAGAAGGUUUUCGGAUCGUAAAACUCUGUUGUUGGAGAAGAAUGUAUCUGAUAGUAACUGAUCAGGUAGUGACGGUAUCCAACCAGAAAGCCACGGCUAACUACGUGCCAGCAGCCGCGGUAAUACGUAGGUGGCAAGCGUUGUCCGGAUUUAUUGGGCGUAAAGCGAGCGCAGGCGGUUUCUUAAGUCUGAUGUGAAAGCCUUCGGCUCAACCGAAGAAGUGCAUCGGAAACUGGGAAACUUGAGUGCAGAAGAGGACAGUGGAACUCCAUGUGUAGCGGUGAAAUGCGUAGAUAUAUGGAAGAACACCAGUGGCGAAGGCGGCUGUCUGGUCUGUAACUGACGCUGAGGCUCGAAAGCAUGGGUAGCAAACAGGAUUAGAUACCCUGGUAGUCCAUGCCGUAAACGAUGAGUGCUAGGUGUUGGAGGGUUUCCGCCCUUCAGUGCCGCAGCUAACGCAUUAAGCACUCCGCCUGGGGAGUACGACCGCAAGGUUGAAACUCAAAGGAAUUGACGGGGGCCCGCACAAGCGGUGGAGCAUGUGGUUUAAUUCGAAGC
rnacentral:rRNA from 2 species